AUUACCGCGCAACUCCGAAUGACGUAAAUAAAUCCUAUGUCGUUCGCAUCUCCUAUUUGAUUCUGAGUGUAUGUUAGAUAAUAUCUACAAUGCAAUUAAUUCUAUAUAUAUAUUUUACAUAAACUAUGACAAAAAUAUUAUUAUAUUCGAAAUAAAAACAAAUCGCGUAAAUUUUACGACUUUAAUUACUUUCCGGCAAUGUAAACAUAGUGAGACUUUUGAAACAUUGAAAUGCGGGGGAAACGCGGAUUUCAGUCAGCUAAAACGAUCCAGCGUUACAUCAAGGUUUUUUGACCCACAGAAGACGAUGGAAAGCUGCCUCACCAAGACACCAGACGCUGGAUCAUCUAUAUUUGCAAUCGCAGACGCAAGACAUGUGUUCAGGUUUUGAACAUGAUGUCUCCAGCAAGGAUAUGUUUGAUGACGGUUACCAUGGAAACGAACUCACGGACCUAUGUCAAAAAUGUCUUUUUCUGAUAAAAUAAAUAUAAUGCUAUCCAUUUCA